CGGAGGCGGCGGCUCCUCAUCCAAAGAAAUGAGGCGACGUUACGGAGGUCCAGGCGGUCGGCCCGGUGGAGGUCCUGGAGGAGACGGUCCCGGCGGUGGAGGACCAGGCGGUCGGCCCGGUGGAGGUCCUGGAGGAGACGGUCCCGGCGGUGGAGGACAGCUGGGGGAUCCGGCGGUGGAGGUCCGAAGGCGGCUCGUGUUUAGACCAACCAGCUCCUCGUCCAUGGAAGGAUUGAAGGAGUCACUGGGGAUGAAGAUCACUGGGGAUGAAGAUCACUGGGGAUGAAGAUCACUGGGGAUGAAGAUCACUGCUCAGGGGCUGACGACAUAUAUAAAUCAGGGGCUGACGACGCGUCCUCAUGGUGCAGGCGGUCAAACCUCCACCUCUUUGAAGACACCAAGCAGCUUGAUGACUGACUGGUUCGUUAUACUCAGGACCUCAUCCCGGAGCAGAGGACGGACCAAAGGCCUACAGCGCAGCCGACUAGAGACUCCAUGAGGAACCGGUUCAAUUAAGUUGACCUCUGCCUCAGGCGACUUAAAGGGAGACCAGAUGUGUGGCAGCUGGGUGUCAGGGUGCAGAGACCCAACGCUGUACUGAACUACACCAGUGUGUCCUACUCCCAUAAACCCUGAGGAUCCCUGGAUGGCUACACAGAGCUCGUAAGUCCGCCCCCUUGCAGCGGGACUUCGUGAGAUCGUAAGAUAUGACUGGGUUUCAAUGGAGAGAAAGUCAUUAUUUUCUCCAUUUUAUGUUGCACCACAUUUUGGGGGAAGAAUGUUUGAAUCAAUCUUUGUCAUUUAUUUCUGUACUCCAUAUCUGUAAUCCCAGCUGUUGUAUUUUAACACGGUAGCUGGAAACCCUCUUUAUAGGGAGC